rnacentral:rRNA from 1 species
UUGACCUCGGAUCAGGUAGUUCCAGUC